GGGAUGAAGUUUUGCAUGAACUUGCGGAGCCCGCUGGUGUGUCUAAUGAACUGUAAAAGUGGCUUGUCAUACGUUCAACGAUACGUUCACGGUUUAUCAUACCCAAGCGAGCGCCAAGGAAUCGCAAGGACCGAGACUAAUCACCUGAGCCUUAACGCUAUAUACCCAGCGAGCAAAAAAUUCGAAUCAAUAUACCUAGCUAUCCCUAGCAGCUCACACGUGAUUUGCCAUGAAAUUUUUAUUUUUCAAUACGCGCGCAUGGCGUUUGAACUUUACAAUACAAAUGUAUGAAUACGUCCCGAUAUAACGUAUGGAGCAUGACCUAUUUUCGAAAUUUAAUGUGAUGCAGUCCAACCAUGAAAAUAAAGAUCUUCUCUCAAUGGACAUUCCACCGAACACGAAUCAAGUUUCUAAUCAAGUAUUUACAAUUAAUUGUAAAAGUGAAUUUUCACUAUGUAAAUAGAUACGAGCAGCGACUGUGCAUGCGACUGUGAUCAGGGGAGUACAAGACUCUUGCAUCUGACGUACCUCGCCAUGCAUAGAAUUUACCAAGGAAACACGCGGUUUCACAUAAAAGGAAACCGUCGAUUCAAUGCUGCUCCGACACACUAACCGUGAGUAACGGAUGU